rnacentral:rRNA from 1 species
GCCGGAGGGAAACCGAGUCUUAAUUGGGCGUUAAGUUGCAGGGUAUAGACCCGAAACCCGGUGAUCUAGCCAUGGGCAGGUUGAAGGUUGGGUAACACUAACUGGAGGACCGAACCGACUAAUGUUGAAAAAUUAGCGGAUGACCUGUGGCUGGGGGUGAAAGGCCAAUCAAACCGGGAGAUAGCUGGUUCUCCCCGAAAGCUAUUUAGGUAGCGCCUCGUGAAUUCAUCUCCGGGGGUAGAGCACUGUUUCGGCUAGGGGGCCAUCCCGGCUUACCAACCCGAUGCAAACUGCGAAUACCGGAGAAUGUUAUCACGGGAGACACACGGCGGGUGCUAACGUCCGUCGUGAAGAGGGAAACAACCCAGACCGCCAGCUAAGGUCCCAAAGUCAUGGUUAAGUGGGAAACGAUGUGGGAAGGCCCAGACAGCCAGGAUGUUGGCUUAGAAGCAGCCAUCAUUUAAAGAAAGCGUAAUAGCUCACUGGUCGAGUCGGCCUGCGCGGAAGAUGUAACGGGGCUAAACCAUGCACCGAAGCUGCGGCAGCGACGCUUAUGCGUUGUUGGGUAGGGGAGCGUUCUGUAAGCCUGCGAAGGUGGCCUGUGAGGGUUGCUGGAGGUAUCAGAAGUGCGAAUGCUGACAUAAGUAACGAUAAAGCGGGUGAAAAGCCCGCUCGCCGGAAGACCAAGGGUUCCUGUCCAACGUUAAUCGGGGCAGGGUGAGUCGACCCCUAAGGCGAGGCCGAAAGGCGUAGUCGAUGGGAAACGGGUUAAUAUUCCCGUACUUGGUGUUACUGCGAAGGGGGGACGGAGAAGGCUAUGUUGGCCGGGCGACGGUUGUCCCGGUUUAAGCGUGUAGGUGUGUGUUCCAGGUAAAUCCGGUUCACUUUAACACUGAGGCGUGACGACGAGGCACUACGGUGCUGAAGCAACAAAUGCCCUGCUUCCAGGAAAAGCCUCUAAGCAUCAGGUAACAUCAAAUCGUACCCCAAACCGACACAGGUGGUCAGGUAGAGAAUACCAAGGCGCUUGAGAGAACUCGGGUGAAGGAACUAGGCAAAAUGGUGCCGUAACUUCGGGAGAAGGCACGCUGACACGUAGGUGAAGUGAUUUACUCAUGGAGCUGAAGUCAGUCGAAGAUACCAGCUGGCUGCAACUGUUUAUUAAAAACACAGCACUGUGCAAACACGAAAGUGGACGUAUACGGUGUGACGCCUGCCCGGUGCCGGAAGGUUAAUUGAUGGGGUCAGCGCAAGCGAAGCUCCUGAUCGAAGCCCCGGUAAACGGCGGCCGUAACUAUAACGGUCCUAAGGUAGCGAAAUUCCUUGUCGGGUAAGUUCCGACCUGCACGAAUGGCGUAAUGAUGGCCAGGCUGUCUCCACCCGAGACUCAGUGAAAUUGAACUCGCUGUGAAGAUGCAGUGUACCCGCGGCAAGACGGAAAGACCCCGUGAACCUUUACUAUAGCUUGACACUGAACAUUGAGCCUUGAUGUGUAGGAUAGGUGGGAGGCUUUGAAGUGUGGACGCCAGUCUGCAUGGAGCCGACCUUGAAAUACCACCCUUUAAUGUUUGAUGUUCUAACGUGGACCCGUUACCCGGGUUGCGGACAGUGUCUGGUGGGUAGUUUGACUGGGGCGGUCUCCUCCUAAAGAGUAACGGAGGAGCACGAAGGUUGGCUAAUCCUGGUCGGACAUCAGGAGGUUAGUGCAAUGGCAUAAGCCAGCUUGACUGCGAGCGUGACGGCGCGAGCAGGUGCGAAAGCAGGUCAUAGUGAUCCGGUGGUUCUGAAUGGAAGGGCCAUCGCUCAACGGAUAAAAGGUACUCCGGGGAUAACAGGCUGAUACCGCCCAAGAGUUCAUAUCGACGGCGGUGUUUGGCACCUCGAUGUCGGCUCAUCACAUCCUGGGGCUGAAGUAGGUCCCAAGGGUAUGGCUGUUCGCCAUUUAAAGUGGUACGCGAGCUGGGUUUAGAACGUCGUGAGACAGUUCGGUCCCUAUCUGCCGUGGGCGCUGGAGAACUGAGGGGGGCUGCUCCUAGUACGAGAGGACCGGAGUGGACGCAUCACUGGUGUUCGGGUUGUCAUGCCAAUGGCACUGCCCGGUAGCUAAAUGCGGAAGAGAUAAGUGCUGAAAGCAUCUAAGCACGAAACUUGCCCCGAGAUGAGUUCUCCCUGAGACUUAGAGUCUCCUGAAGGAACGUUGAAGACGACGACGUUG